GAUGAACGCUGGCGGCGUGCCUAACACAUGCAAGUCGAACGGAAAGACCGUGAGAUUUUGCUCUUCCCGGUGGCGGAUGGCGGGCGUGUGAGGUGUGUAUCCUACUCUUCUUUUUCGUGGAGGAUCACGAAAGUGAGGUUACUCUAAGACCGCAUAUGCUGCACCGGGGAGGGCAUUGGAUCUUCUCGCCUUUCGCGAUUGAACUCGCCGCUGUCGAGUUAGCUAGUUGGCUGGGUAAUGGCCCACCAAGGCGAGGAUACGUAGCUGGUCUGAGAGGAUGAUCAGCCACACUGGAACUGAGACACGGUCCAGACUCCUACGGGAGGCAGCAGUGGGGAAUAUUGGACAAUGGGCGAAAGCCUGACCCAGCCAUACCGCGUGAGUGAAGAAGGCCUUCGGGUCGUAAAGCCCUGUUGUUGGGAAAGAAAAGCAGCAGGUUAAUACCCCGCUGUUCUGACGGUACCCAAAGAAUAAGCACCGGCUAACUUCGUG
rnacentral:rRNA from 1 species